rnacentral:rRNA from 1 species
CCCCUAGAUGUUCUGGGCCGCACGCGCGCUACACUGAACAGUUCAACAAGUCUUAACCUUGGCCGAUAGGUCUGGGUAAUCUUUGAACGCUGUUCGUGAUUGGGAUAGACCUUUGCAAUUAUGGGUCUUCAACGAGGAAUUCCUAGUAAACGCAAGUCAUCAGCUUGCAUUGAUUACGUCCCUGCCCUUUGUACACACCGCCCGUCGCACCUACCGAUUGAAUGGCCCGGUGAAAUCUCGGGACGGCGGCUUGGUCGCUUGCGUCCGACUGCUGAAACUUGAUUAAACCAUAUCAUUUAGAGGAAGGUGAANUCGUAACA